AUUGAACGCUGGCGGCAUGCCUUACACAUGCAAGUCGAACGGUAACGGGCCUUCGGGUGCCGACGAGUGGCGAACGGGUGAGUAAUGCAUCGGAAUGUACCUUUCAGUGGGGGAUAACGUAGCGAAAGUUACGCUAAUACCGCAUAUUCUGUGAGCAGGAAAGCAGGGGAUCGCAAGACCUUGCGCUGAUUGAGCGGCCGAUGUCAGAUUAGCUAGUUGGUGAGGUAAAGGCUCACCAAGGCGACGAUCUGUAGCGGGUCUGAGAGGAUGAUCCGCCACACUGGAACUGAGACACGGUCCAGACUCCUACGGGAGGCAGCAGUGGGGAAUUUUGGACAAUGGGCGCAAGCCUGAUCCAGCCAUGCCGCGUGCAGGAUGAAGGCCUUCGGUGUAACUGCUUUGUACGGAACGAAAAGACUACUCUCUAACUACAGGGGUGAAGUGACGGUACCGUAAGGAAUAAAGACACCGGACCUAACUACGUAGUCCAGCACG
rnacentral:rRNA from 1 species